CUAAUCGUAUGGCUUCUGGAGAUACUGCAUGUCUUGAGGCCGGGAGAGGUGGGAGGUACUCCGGGGGUAGCGGUAAAAUGCUAUAAUCCUCGGGGGACCACCGGUGGCGAAGGCGUCCCACUGGAACGGCCCUGACGGUGAGGAACGAAACCCAGGGGAGCGAGCCGGAUUAGAUACCCGGGUAGUCCUGGGCGUAAAUCAUGCGGAUAAAGUGUGGCAUUAUCUACGAGAUAAUGCUGUGCCGUAGGGAAGCCGUUAAGUCCGCCGUCUGGGGAGUACGGUCGCAAGGCUGAAACUUAAAGGAAUUGGCGGGGGAGCACCACAAGGGGUGGAGGCUGCGGUUUAAUUGGAUUCAACGCCGGACAACUCACCGGGGGCGACAGCAGUAUGAGGGCCAAGCUGACGACUUUGCCUGACAAGCUGAGAGGAGGUGCAUGGCCGCCGUCAGUUCGUACCGUGAGGUGUCCUGUUAAGUCAGGUAACGAACGAGACCCCUGCCCGCAGUUACCAGCAGAUGCUCAGGCAUGAUGGGGACUCUGCGGGGACCGCUUUUGCUAAAAAAGAGGAAGGAGGGGGCAACGGUAGGUCAGUAUGCCCCGAAUCUCCCGGGCUACACGCGGCCUACAAUGGGUGCGACGAUGAGUUCCGACCCCGAGAGGGGAAGGUAAUCCCCUAAACGCACUCUUAGUACGGAUCGAGGGCUGAAACCCGCCCUCGUGAAGCUGGA
rnacentral:rRNA from 1 species